CCUACGGGGGGCAGCAGUGAGGAAUAUUGGUCAAUGGGCGCGAGCCUGAACCAGCCAAGUAGCGUGAAGGAUGACUGCCCUACGGGUUGUAAACUUCUUUUAUAAAGGAAUAAAGUGAGGCACGUGUGCCUUUUUGUAUGUACUUUAUGAAUAAGGAUCGGCUUACUCCGUGCCCGCAGCCGGGGUAAUAUGGAGGAUUCGAGCGUUCACCGGAUUUAUUUGGUUUAAAGGGAGCGUAGAGGGGUUGUUAAGUCCGUUGUGAAAGUUUGUGGCUCAACCGUAAAAUUGCAAUUGAUACUGGCAGUCGUGAGUACAGUUGAGGUAGGCGGAAUUCGUGGUGUAGCGGUGAAAUGCUUAGAUAUCACGAAGAACUCCGAUUGCGAAGGCAGCUUACUAAACUGCCACUGACAUUGAUGCUCGAAAGUGUGGGUAUCAAACAGGAUUAGAUACCCCUGUAGUC
rnacentral:rRNA from 1 species